UACGUAGGGUGCAAGCGUUGUCCGGAAUUAUUGGGCGUAAAGAGCUCGUAGGCGGCUUGCCACGUCGACUGUGAAAACCCGGGGCUCAACUCCGGGCCUGCAGUCGAUACGGGCUGGCUUGAGUGCGGUAGGGGAGACUGGAAUUCCUGGUGUAGCGGUGAAAUGCGCAGAUAUCAGGAGGAACACCGGUGGCGAAGGCGGGUCUCUGGGCCGUAACUGACGCUGAGGAGCGAAAGCGUGGGGAGCGAACAGG
rnacentral:rRNA from 1 species